GGCCGGUUAGCUCAGUUGGUUAGAGUGUGCUGCUGGUAACACCAGGGACCAGGUUUGAUUCCUGUACUGGCCA